UACAGAGGUCCCGAGCGUUGUUCGGAUUCACUGGGCGUAAAGGGUGCGUAGGUGGUGAGGUAAGUCGGAUGUGAAAUCUCCGGGCUCAACCCGGAAAUGGCAUUGGAAACUACCUUGCUAGAGGAUUUGAGGGGGGAUUGGAAUACUUGGUGUAGCAGUGAAAUGCGCAGAUAUCGGGAGGAACACCGGUGGCGAAGGCGGUUCUCUGGGCAUUACCUGACGCUGAGGAGCGAAAGUGUGGGGAGCGAACAGG
rnacentral:rRNA from 1 species